GAUGAAGAACGUAGUGAAAUGCGAUAAGUAAUGUGAAUUGCAGAAUUCAGUGAAUCAUCGAAUCUUUGAACGCACAUUGCGCCCGCCAGUAUUCUGGCGGGCAUGCCUGUUCGAGCGUCAUUUCAACCAUCAAGCCCCCCCGGCUUGUGUUGGGGACCUGCGGCUGCCGCAGGCCCUGAAAAGCAGUGGCGGGCUCGCUGUCACACCGAGCGUAGUAGAUCUCAUCUCGCUCAGGGCGUGCUGCGGGUUCCGGCCGUUAAACCACCUUCAUAACCCAAGGUUGACCUCGGAUCAGGUAGGAAGACCCGCUGAACUUAAGCAUAUCAAUAAGCGGAGGA
rnacentral:misc_RNA from 1 species